UUUUAGCCCCGAUAGAAGUGGAAAUCCUUUUGCUUUUUCUUUAAAAAGUAAAAGAUUGUAGCGGAUAGCGGGAAAUAGC
rnacentral:sRNA from 1 species